AGUGAACGCUGGCGGUAGACCUAACACAUGCAAGUCGAACGGCAGCACAGUAAGAGCUUGCACUUACGGGUGGCGAGUGGCGGACGGGUGAGGAAUACAUCGGAAUCUACUCUUUCGUGGGGGAUAACGUAGGGAAACUUACGCUAAUACCGCAUACGACCUACGGGUGAAAGCAGGGGAUCUUCGGACCUUGCGCGAUUGAAUGAGCCGAUGUCGGAUUAGCUAGUUGGCGGGGUAAAGGCCCACCAAGGCGACGAUCCGUAGCUGGUCUGAGAGGAUGAUCAGCCACACUGGAACUGAGACACGGUCCAGACUCCUACGGGAGGCAGCAGUGGGGAAUAUUGGACAAUGGGCGCAAGCCUGAUCCAGCCAUACCGCGUGGGUGAAGAAGGCCUUCGGGUUGUAAAGCCCUUUUGUUGGGAAAGAAAAGCAGCAGGUUAAUACCCCGCUGUUCUGACGGUACCCAAAGAAUAAGCACCGGCUAACUUCGUG
rnacentral:rRNA from 1 species